GACGAACCGUGCGAACGUUGUUCGGAAUCACUGGGCUUAAAGGGUGCGUAGGCGGGCGAUCGAGUCAGGGGUGAAAUCCUCCAGCUUAACUGGAGAACUGCCUUUGAUACUGGUCAUCUCGAGUGAGGUAGGGGCGUGCGGAACUGAUGGUGGAGCGGUGAAAUGUGUUGAUAUCAUCAGGAACUCCGGUGGCGAAAGCGACGCGCUGGACCUUUACUGACGCUGAGGCACGAAAGCCAGGGGAGAGAACGGG
rnacentral:rRNA from 1 species